CCUACGGGUGGCAGCAGUGGGGAAUAUUGCACAAUGGGGGAAACCCUGAUGCAGCGACGCCGCGUGAGCGAUGAAGUAUUUCGGUAUGUAAAGCUCUGUCCGCAGGGAAGAAAAUUACGGUACCUGACUAAGAAGCCCCGGCUAACUACGUGCCAGCCGCCGCGGUAAUACGUAGGGGGCAAGCGUUAUCCGGAUUUACUGGGUGUAAAGGGAGCGUAGACGGCGGUGCAAGUCAGAUGUGAAAGCCCGGGGCUCAACCCGGGGACUGCAUUUGGAACUGUGCUGCUUGAGUGGCGGAGAGGCAGGCGGAAUUCCGAGUGUAGCGGUGAAAUGCGUAGAUAUUAGGAGGAACACCAGUGGCGAAGGCGGCCUGCUGGACGAUGACUGACGCUGAGGCUCGAAAGCGUGGGGAGCAAACAGGAUUAGAUACCCGAGUAGUC
rnacentral:rRNA from 1 species